UACGUAGGGUGCGAGCGUUAAUCGGAAUUACUGGGCGUAAAGCGUGCGCAGGCGGUUUUGUAAGUCAGGUGUGAAAUCUCAGGGCUCAACCCUGAAACUGCACUUGAUACUGCGUGGCUCGGGUACUGGAGAGGAGACUGGAAUUUACGGUGUAGCAGUGAAAUGCGUAGAUAUCGUAAGGAAGACCAGUGGCGAAGGCGAGUCUCUGGACAGUUACCGACGCUGAGGCACGAAGGUCAGGGGAGCAAACGGG
rnacentral:rRNA from 1 species